rnacentral:rRNA from 1 species
ACGGGUGAGUAAUGCCUAGGAAUCUGCCUGGUAGUGGGGGACAACGUCUCGAAAGGGACGCUAAUACCGCAUACGUCCUACGGGAGAAAGCAGGGGACCUUCGGGCCUUGCGCUAUCAGAUGAGCCUAGGUCGGAUUAGCUAGUUGGUGAGGUAAUGGCUCACCAAGGCGACGAUCCGUAACUGGUCUGAGAGGAUGAUCAGUCACACUGGAACUGAGACACGGUCCAGACUCCUACGGGAGGCAGCAGUGGGGAAUAUUGGACAAUGGGCGAAAGCCUGAUCCAGCCAUGCCGCGUGUGUGAAGAAGGUCUUCGGAUUGUAAAGCACUUUAAGUUGGGAGGAAGGGCAGUAACUUAAUACGUUGCUGUUUUGACGUUACCGACAGAAUAAGCACCGGCUAACUCUGUGCCAGCAGCCGCGGUAAUACAGAGGGUGCAAGCGUUAAUCGGAAUUACUGGGCGUAAAGCGCGCGUAGGUGGUUUGUUAAGUUGGAUGUGAAAGCCCCGGGCUCAACCUGGGAACUGCAUUCAAAACUGACAAGCUAGAGUAUGGUAGAGGGUGGUGGAAUUUCCUGUGUAGCGGUG